CAACAAGAAGUCAACUGCAUUCCGCAUUUAUGGAGAGAAAAGGUGUCCUGAUCCUGAUAGCCAUACAGCUGAAGCAUAGCCAUAGCCCUGUGCCAAAUUAAAUUCUCUGCGGUUUGCAACAUGCGGCGCUGGCAAUUGCGGUUUGCCAAAUGUUUACAUCUCAGCUACUCUAAUUGCCUGGCUGGCUUUAAUUAAAAAGCCAAAUCCACAGCCACCGCAAACUUAACACUAAUUAGAUUGCCAACUUCGAGCCCUGUCUAUAUAAGGCAACUUGCCAGCAUUUCCCAUUCGCAUCGUUUGUUUAAUGGUGUAGAUUGUUGCACGCUGACAAUUUGCAGCAGCAGCAGCAGUAGCAGUAGUAAAUGUUGCUGCAGUUACAGCAACAGCAACAGCAAUUGCAACUGC